rnacentral:rRNA from 1 species
CCUAGUUCGGAUUGUAGGCUGAAACUCGCCUACAUGAAGCUGGAAUUGCUAGUAAUCACAGGUCAGCAUACUGUGGUGAAUACGUUCCCGGGCCUUGUACACACCGCCCGUCACACCAUGAGAGUUGGGAAUACCCGAAGCCCAUGUCAAAGUGGUCGAAGGUAGGCUUGAUGAUUGGGGUGAAGUCGUAACAAGGUAGC